GUCCCUGUAGCACAUUGGAUAAUGCAUUAGACUUCUAAUCUAAAGGUUGUGGAUUUGAAUCGCAUCUGGAAUG